AUUGAACGCUGGCGGCAGGCCUAACACAUGCGAGUCGAGCGGAUGAAGGUAGCUUGCUCCUGGAUUCAGCGGCGGACGGGUGAGUAAUGCCUAGGAAUCUGCCUGGUAGUGGGGGAUAACGUCCGGAAACGGGCGCUAAUACCGCAUACGUCCUGAGGGAGAAAGUGGGGGAUCUUCGGACCUCACGCUAUCAGAUGAGCCUAGGUCGGAUUAGCUAGUUGGUGGGGUAAAGGCCUACCAAGGCGACGAUCCGUAACUGGUCUGAGAGGAUGAUCAGUCACACUGGAACUGAGACACGGUCCAGACUCCUACGGGAGGCAGCAGUGGGGAAUAUUGGACAAUGGGCGAAAGCCUGAUCCAGCCAUGCCGCGUGUGUGAAGAAGGUCUUCGGAUUGUAAAGCACUUUAAGUUGGGAGGAAGGGCAGUAAGUUAAUACCUUGCUGUUUUGACGUUACCAACAGAAUAAGCACCGGCUAACUUCGUG
rnacentral:rRNA from 1 species